GCCGCUACAACCAGAGUAAAAAAAAAUGUUUGAUUUUUACUCCGGUUCGCUAGUAAAUCUUUUUUAGUUCGUUUUAAAACUAAAUGUAUAUUUAGUGGACUGUUUUCGCGGUAAAUUUCAUACGUGACAUUUGACAUGCCAUUUGCUCUCCACGUUUUGUUUUAUCAAAUGACAUAGCGAAACAACAUCAUAUGCACACAGACGGAUUAUAAACACGAGCCGAGGAAUAUGCAACCAAGUAGCUUUAAUUCAAAACGCAACCGAACUUAACGACCGCAGAUGACAAAUUCUAUUUAAACGAAAAUGGAAACAAUUCGAGGCCUAGUGAUUCUAGAACAGUGCAUGAGUCCAGGAGCUCCGUGUGGCAGUCCCAGAAUCAUAGUCUCCCUAAAAUCUCUGGAAGCCAGAGUGUCUCUCAUGAAUUAUUAAUUGGAUACAUCGAAGAUUCUGGACGUCGCGUGUCUGCAACGAUGUUCUUGCCCCGCAAGCUGUUGUAUUUCCACUCCAAGAUAUUUGCAUUCUACCCGGUGGCUUACCAGAGUGAGCAUUUUAAAACCACUUCCCUAUUAGACUUAUACGUUUAAAGUCCAAUUGUUAUAACAUUUUAAGCUGGGCUAUCAACUAAUUGGGUUAAAAGAAAAGAAAUUAAAACCAAAGAUCUCAUAUUGGAUUGUUUACUUAGUACUAUUUCGUUACUAUUGCUACUCUCCGUGUGAUUUUGGAUCCAGUACUUUAUUACUCAUUUGUCGAAAUCAAUCAAAAACAUUUUCCAUCCUUUAAGAGUUCUUCUAUGAGCUUCUUGCAUUCCAUUCUCUUUAGUUUUCCUGAGUGCGUAUGCGGCAAUGAGUCCACGAACGCAAUGCCUCCGUGCAAUCUCUUGUGAUCGCUUAGUGUUGCUGUAAACAAAAAUUAUGUACAGAAGAUAAUAAUAAUAAUAAAUAAAUAAAUAAUAAUAAAUAUUUACUAACAAUCACGCCACGUUAACUGGUCCCGUGAUAAGUUCGUAAAGAACUUGUGUUACAGGUACCAGAUAACGGAUAUAAAUGUAAGAGUUUUAUUAUACACAUACAUAUAUUUAAUAUACAUCCAUAAGCCUGGAAAAGACAGGGACUUCCCGCCAAGGGAAGAUAUUUAUCAUACAAAUAUUUUUCCUUGGCGGGAUUCGAACCCGCGACCU